rnacentral:rRNA from 1 species
GACGAACGCUGGCGGCGUGCUUAACACAUGCAAGUCGUACGGUAAGGCCCUUUCGGGGGUACACGAGUGGCGAACGGGUGAGUAACACGUGAGUAACCUGCCCACAACUUUGGGAUAACGCUAGGAAACUGGUGCUAAUACUGGAUAUGUGCUCCUGCUGCAUGGUGGGGGUUGGAAAGCUCCGGCGGUUGUGGAUGGACUCGCGGCCUAUCAGCUUGUUGGUGGGGUAGUGGCCUACCAAGGCGGCGACGGGUAGCCGGCCUGAGAGGGUGACCGGCCACAUUGGGACUGAGAUACGGCCCAGACUCCUACGGGAGGCAGCAGUGGGGAAUAUUGCACAAUGGGCGCAAGCCUGUUGCAGCAACGCCGCGUGCGGGAUGACGGCCUUCGGGUUGUAAACCGCUUUCAGCAGGGACGAAGCUUUUUGUGACGGUACCUGCAGAAGAAGCACCGGCUAACUACGUG